rnacentral:lncRNA from 1 species
ACAAAAUCGCCGACCGCACAAUCCUCUUGACCGGCCAGCCCAGCAUUGGCAAGACCAAGUCCCUCGAGCUCAAAACCCCCUUCACCAUGAUCACCUAGGCUCAAAAUCUUCUCCCUCGAGAUGUCGAAAAUCAGAUGUUUUAUGUGCCUGAGAUAAAUCAAAGCAUUUUGAAUGUUGGACAAAUGCUUGAAAAGAACUAUACCUUGCAUUUUGAAGACAUGAGAUGCACCAUAUUUGAUCCCUUAGGGAGUGAGCUAAUGUCUGUCAAAAUGAGAGAUAAAAGUUUUCCAAUAUAGUGGAAAGAAAAAACUAUGCAUGCUUUUCCUAGUACUAGAAAUGAUUUUGUUUUGUGGCAUAAAAGACUUGGUCAUUUUAGCUUUUCCACUUUGAAGAAAAUGAGCUCAAAUGGUUUAGUUCAAAAUUUACCUUCCAUUGGAAAUGAUGUUGAUGUGUGUGAUGUCACUACUACAAAGAAUGGUUUUAAUCUGUUGUGCGCGCCCAAACCUUGUGUCCAAAGCUCUGUGUUGGCGUCAAAAGGCCUCUCCUGUCAUUGUUGCUUCCGC